rnacentral:rRNA from 1 species
UACGAGGGGGGCGAGCGUUGCUCGGAAUUAUUGGGCGUAAAGGGUGCGUAGGCGGUUUGGUAAGUCUCUUGUGAAAUCUAUGGGCUCAACUCAUAGUCUGCAAGGGAAACUGCCGGGCUUGAGUGUGGGAGAGGUGAGUGGAAUUUCCGGUGUAGCGGUGAAAUGCGUAGAUAUCGGAAGGAACACCUGUGGCGAAAGCGGCUCACUGGACAGGUACUGACGCUGAGACGCGAAAGCGUGGGGAGCAAACAGG